rnacentral:rRNA from 1 species
AUUGAACGCUGGCGGCAGGCCUAAUACAUGCAAGUCGAACGAGUGGCGGACGGGUGAGUAGUGUCUGGGAAACUGCCUGAUGGACGCGGAUAACUACUGGAAACGGUAGAUACUGCCGCAUACCACCGGUUGUGCCCAGAUGGGAUUAGCUAGUAGGUGGGGUAAAGGCUCACAUAGGCGACGAUCCCUAGCUGGUCUGAGAGGCUGACCAGCCACACUGGAACUGAGACACGGUCCAGACUCCUACGGGAGGCAGCAGUGGGGAAUAUUGCGCAAUGGGCGCAAGCCUGAUGCAGCCAUGCCGCGUGUAUGAAGAAGGCCUUCGGGUUGUAAAGUACUUUCAGCGGGGAGGCGUUACCCGCAGAAGAAGCACCGGCUAACUCCGUGCCAGCAGCCGCGGUAAUAC